UAAUACAACCAAUCAAUUAAAACUUUCAACAACGGAUCUCUUGGUUCUGGCAUCGAUGAAGAACGCAGCGAAAUGCGAUAAGUAAUGUGAAUUGCAGAAUUCAGUGAAUCAUCGAAUCUUUGAACGCACAUUGCGCCCUCUGGUAUUCCGGAGGGCA
rnacentral:rRNA from 1 species